AAAUUGAAGAGUUUGAUCAUGGCUCAGAUUGAACGCUGGCGGCAGGCCUAACACAUGCAAGUCGAGCGGUAGCACAGAGAGCUUGCUCUCGGGUGACGAGCGGCGGACGGGUGAGUAAUGUCUGGGAAACUGCCUGAUGGAGGGGGAUAACUACUGGAAACGGUAGCUAAUACCGCAUAAUGUCGCAAGACCAAAGUGGGGGACCCUCGGGCCUCAUGCCAUCAGAUGUGCCCAGAUGGGAUUAGCUAGUAGGUGGGGUAAUGGCUCACCUAGGCGACGAUCCCUAGCUGGUCUGAGAGGAUGACCAGCCACACUGGAACUGAGACACGGUCCAGACUCCUACGGGAGGCAGCAGUGGGGAAUAUUGCACAAUGGGCGCAAGCCUGAUGCAGCCAUGCCGCGUGUAUGAAGAAGGCCUUCGGGUUGUAAAGUACUUUCAGCGAGGAGGAAGGCAUUAAGGUUAAUAACCUUG
rnacentral:rRNA from 1 species